rnacentral:rRNA from 1 species
GACGAACGCUGGCGGCGUGCUUAACACAUGCAAGUCGAACGAUGAAGAAGAGAAACGCGAACUUCGGUUCAAAUUUCACUUCGGAUUAGUGGCAGACGGGUGAGUAACGCGUGAGCAACCUACCUCUUACAAAGGGAUAGCCUCGGGAAACCGUGAUUAAUACCAUAUGACAAAUUCAUAAGGCAUCUUAAGACUUUUAAAGCUACGGCGGUAAGAGAUGGGCUCGCGUCCCAUUAGCUAGUUGGUGAGGUAACGGCCCACCAAGGCGACGAUGGGUAACCGGCCUGAGAGGGUGAACGGUCACAUUGGAACUGAGACACGGUCCAAACUCCUACGGGAGGCAGCAGUGGGGAAUAUUGCACAAUGGAGGGAACUCUGAUGCAGCGACGCCGCGUGAGCGAUGAAGGAAUUCGUUUCGUAAAGCUCUGUUCUAUGGGAAGAAAAGGACUGUACCAUAGGAGAAAGCCCCGGCUAAAUACGUG